rnacentral:tRNA from 1 species
GUCUCAUUAGCUCAGGGGUUAGAGCACUGGUCUAGUAAACCAGGGGUGCAGAGUUCAAAUCUCUGAUGAGGCU